rnacentral:tRNA from 1 species
GAGGGUGUAGCUCAGUGGUAGAGCACGUGCUUAGCAUGCACAAGGUCCUGGGUUCAAUCCCCAGUAUCUCCA